UCUCAGAUGGUCCCAAGCUAAUGUUCCUCCUGAUUUGCCUUCAAUCACAUAUCUUGAUGAGCUUGGGAAACUACAUACCUGCUGUGGUGUGAAAGUGCUCCCUAAAGACUGAUGAAUUACAGGCUGAGUUGCCAGCCUGUGACACCACUGGGAGUUUAUGGGACCUCUAAGAGGCAGGACCUCGUGGAAGGAAGGUGGCAAGUGGAAGCUUAUCUCUCCAGAGGAACACAAGAAGACAGAGACUAUGUAAAGGAACAAUCACUGCCUAGGUAUGGACUCCUCUGACUACGAAAGUGUAAUAAUCAUUCAAUUUUCUUAACCUUUAACCUAUGCCAUUUAAUUAAUCAUCAUACAAACAAUAAAUCCAAACACCCUACGGUAGAUGAUAACUUGUUUCUAAAUUUUGAAAGUAGCCUAAUAAUAGCUAAAUACUGAAAGAAAAAUGUUCUAGAUCAGAAGAAGAAAAAAUCACAUUGGGUGAACUAGUCCAGAAAGGGUUCACAGUGCUAAAGUUAGCAUCUAACAAAAAGGUAUUGACCAUUUUUUGGGCUUUUUUGGUAUCAGGAAUCAAACUCAGAACCUCACAUUUGCCAAGCACGGCUUGUGCCACUGAGCUAUGUCCCCAGCCCAAGUCCUAAACUUUUUCAUAAAAUGUCCGCUACUUUAGAACUUCCCUAAGUGUAUUUAUUUUACCAAAGGUAGCAGGAGAGAAGAAUGGUAAUGACAUGUCCCACUGUUUUCACCAAAUUACCCAACGGUGAAAAACUGCAAAAUUAUGUAAUGUGCCUGAAGAGUAUGAUGACUCUAAAUUUUUAAAACUCAUUACACUAAAAGACACAUUGUCAUUAAUCCCUCUGAAAAUAGUCCUCUUCACUUGGAACACAUUUAUCUCAUUGUUCUAGCCACUUUCUGAAGCAGUUCUGGAAGUCCCCUUUCAUGA